GAUCCUGGCUCAGAGCGAACGCUGGCGGCAGGCCUAACACAUGCAAGUCGAACGGACCCUUCGGGGUUAGUGGCGGACGGGUGAGUAACACGUGGGAACGUGCCUUUAGGUUCGGAAUAGCUCCUGGAAACGGGUGGUAAUGCCGAAUGUGCCCUUCGGGGAAGAUUUAUCGCCUUUAGAGCGGCCCGCGUCUGAUUAGCUAGUUGGUGGGGUAAUGGCCCACCAAGGCUACGAUCAGUAGCUGGUCUGAGAGGAUGACCAGCCACAUUGGGACUGAGACACGGCCCAAACUCCUACGGGAGGCAGCAGUGGGGAAUCUUGCGCAAUGGGCGAAAGCCUGACGCAGCCAUGCCGCGUGUAUGAUGAAGGUCUUAGGAUUGUAAAAUACUUUCACCGGUGAAGAUAAUGACUGUAGCCGGAGAAGAAGCCCCGGCCUAACUUCGUGCCAGCAGCCG
rnacentral:rRNA from 1 species